GUCCUAUGGUUUUACAUUUUAGGUCUAGCCUGCCCAUUGAUUAAAUUUAACGGCCGCAGUAAUUUGACUGUGCUAAGGUAGCAUAAUCAUUAGUUUUUUAAUUGAAAACUGGAAUGAAAGGUUGGAUGAGGAAAUUUCUGUCUCUUAUUUAAUAAUUAAAAUUUUACUUUUAAGUAAAAAGGCUUAAAUUUUAUUAAAAGACGAGAAGACCCUUUAGAGUUUUAUAUUAUUUUAUAAUUAAAUUUUUGGUAUAUAUUUUAGGUUAUAAAUAUUAUUUGGUUGGGGUAGUUAUUAAAUUUAUAAAAUUUUAAUUUUUUAAAAUCAAUAAUUAUUGUAUUUUACUUGAUCCUUAUUUAAAGAUUAUUAGAUUAAAUUACCUAAGGGAUAACAGCGUAAUUUUUUUAGAGAGCUCUUAUCGAUAAAAUAGAUUGCGACCUCGAUGUUGGAUUAAAAUUUGCAAUUAGGUGUAGAAGUUAAUUUGCUUAGUCUGUUCGACUAUUAAAAUUUUACA
rnacentral:rRNA from 1 species